rnacentral:rRNA from 1 species
GGUGAACGCUGGCGGCGUGCCUAACACAUGCAAGUCGAGCGAUUUACUUCGGUAAAGAGCGGCGGACGGGUGAGUAACGCGUGGGUAACCUGCCCUGUACACACGGAUAACAUACCGAAAGGUAUGCUAAUACGAGAUAAUAUGCUUUUAUCGCAUGGUAGAAGUAUCAAGGCUUUUGCGGCACAGGAUGGACCCGCGUCUGAUUAGCUAGUUGGUAAGGUAACGGCUUACCAAGGCGACGAUCAGUAGCCGACCUGAGAGGGUGAUCGGCCACAUUGGAACUGAGACACGGUCCAAACUCCUACGGGAGGCAGCAGUGGGGAAUAUUGCACAAUGGGCGAAAGCCUGAUGCAGCAACGCCGCGUGAGCGAUGAAGGCCUUCGGGUCGUAAAGCUCUGUCCUCAAGGAAGAUAAUGACGGUACUUGAGGAGGAAGCCCCGGCUAACUACGUGCCAGCAGCCGCGGUAA